AGCGAACGCUGGCGGCAGGCCUAACACAUGCAAGUCGAACGAACCUUUCGGGGUUAGUGGCGGACGGGGGGGUACCACGUGGGAACGUGCCUUUAGGUACGGAGUAACUCAGGGAAACUUGUGCUAAUAACGAAUGUGCCCUUCGGGGAAAGGAGUAAUCGCGUUUAGAUCGGCGUGAGUCUGAUUAGCUAGUUGGGUGAGGUAAUGGCUCACCAAGGCGACGUGCAGUAGCUGGUGUGUACGGAGGAUCAGACACAUUGGGACUGAGACACGGCCCAAACUCGUACGGGAGGCAGCAGUGGAGAGUACUGCGCAAGGGGCGAAAGCCUGACGCAGCCAUGCGGGGGGAAUCAGGAAGGUCGUAGGAUUGUACAAUUGUUUGACCGGAGACGAGAAUGACGGUACCCGGAGAAGAAGCCCCGGCUAACUUCGUG
rnacentral:rRNA from 1 species